rnacentral:rRNA from 1 species
GACGAACGCUGGCGGCGUGCUUAACACAUGCAAGUCGAGCGGAGCGGCGAACGGGUGAGUAACGCGUAAUCAACCUGCCCUUCAGAGGGGGACAACAGUUGGAAACGACUGCUAAUACCGCAUACUGAAGGAGGGGAUUGCGUCUGAUUGGCUAGUUGGAGGGGUAACGGCCCCCCAAGGCGAUGAGCAGUAGCCGGUCUGAUGAGAUGAACGGCCAAAUUGGGACUGAGACACGGCCCAGACUCCUACGGGAGGCAGCAGGGGGGAAUCUUCCGCAAUGGACGAAAGUCUGACGGAGCAACGCCGCGUGAGUGAUGACGGCCUUCGGGUUGUAAAGCUCUGUUAAUCGGGACGCGGUACCGGAAUAGAAAGCCACGGCUAACUACGUGCCAGCAGCCGCGGUAAUAC